rnacentral:tRNA from 1 species
GCCAGUAUGAUGUAAUGGUAGCAUGAUAGUCUCCAAAACUAUCUGCCAGGGUUCAAAUCCUUGUACUGGUGCCA